rnacentral:rRNA from 1 species
GAUGAACGCUGGCGGCGUGCCUAAUACAUGCAAGUCGAACGCUGGAAAUCUAGCUUGCUAGAUUGAAGGAGUGGCGAACGGGUGAGUAAUACAUAAGCAACCUACCCACGAAGACUGGGAUAAUCUCUGGAAACGGGGACUAAUACCGGAUAGGUAAUCGGAAGGCAUCUUCUGAUUAUUAAAGGUUAAAAACACUGGUGGAUGGGCUUAUGGCGCAUUAGUUAGUUGGUGAGGUAACGGCCCACCAAGACGAUGAUGCGUAGCCGGCCUGAGAGGGUGAACGGCCACAUUGGGACUGAGACACGGCCCAGACUCCUACGGGAGGCAGCAGUAGGGAAUUUUCGGCAAUGGGGGAAACCCUGACCGAGCAACGCCGCGUGAGCGAUGACGGCCUUCGGGUUGUAAAGCUCUGUUGUAAGGGAAGAACGGUAGAUAGAGAAUAUCUAAAUGACGGUACCUUACCAGAAAGCCACGGCUAGCUACGUG